rnacentral:rRNA from 1 species
GAGACAGGUGGUGCAUGGUUGUCGUCAGCUCGUGUCGUGAGAUGUUGGGUUAAGUCCCGCAACGAGCGCAACCUUGUGUUUAGUUGCAAACAAGGUCAAGCUGUGCACUCUAGACAGACUGCCGUGGACAACACGGAGGAAGGUGGGGGAUGACGUCAAAUCAUCAUGCCCCUUAUGAUCUGGGCUACACACGUGCUACAAUGGCCGGUACAACGGGCAGCGAAGGAGCGAUCCGGAGCGAAUCCUAAAAAGCCGGUCCCAGUUCGGAUUGCAGGCUGAAACUCGCCUACAUGAAGUUGGAGUUGCUAGUAAUCGCGAAUCAGAAUGUCGCGGUGAAUGCGUUCCCGGGUCUU